GGAGUCUGGGCCGUAUCUCAGUCCCAAUGUGGCCGAUCACCCUCUCAGGCCGGCUACCGAUCGUCGCCUUGGUGGGCCGUUGCCCCGCCAACUAGCUAAUCGGACGCAAGCUCAUCCCCUGUCGAUGAAUCUUUUGUCAACUCCCCAGGCGGGGAGCCACGAUAUCCGGUAUUACCCGCGCGUUGGCACGGCUAUUCCCGAACAGGGGGCAGAUUGCUUACGCGUUACUCACCCGUUCGCCGCUAUGCAUUGCUGCACCGCUCGACUUGCAUGUGUUAGGCACGCCGCCAGCGUUCGUC
rnacentral:rRNA from 1 species